AUCACCCUCAGGGUACCAUUAUUACAGAGCUGGUAGCUGUUCCGAACUUGAUCUGGAAAAAUGUUUCCAUGGUACUUUGCAGCCAUCAGUCGAAGGCUGCCUUCAAUUAGCACACAUACCAUGUGAAGCCACAGGUCAGAUCCACUACAAAUCAAAGCCCAGAAUUCUUCAAGAAAAUGGAGAGAAGAAGUCAAUCUUCCCCAUCCUCAUGCUUUUACUGCUGACUGCAUCUGAUACCACCCCCACUCAAGAGAACUCUGAAGAGACUCAAAUACAUCAGGGAGAUGGAGCCAGUGGGUGCUGAUAAUGUGUUUAUCUUCCCCAGUGGAAACUACACGAGUCAAUCAGACUUCUGACCUUUUCCUUUAUCGAAAAGUUACAGGAAGGAAAUGUGAGUCAGAGACUCCUUUUACAGAUAGAUACACUGAUUCCUGAUCGUCUGGGCAAAGGAGCUGGCCUGGGCUGGCCUCUGAGAAGUCAGCUUUUGGGGCAGUGAGCAAGUGUGUACCUGUCGCUCCUGCGACUCCAGCCGUCACGCAGAAGGACAGAAUCUACAUCAUUAAUCAUUUGGCAGAGCAGAAAUAGAGUCACUGAAACAGGCUCUGCUGUGGGAUAAUAGUCCAGAAAUGUCACCAUUUAUCUAGUGAGAGGACACUUUUAUCCUCUGACAACGGGCUAGCCCACCGACAUUAUAUCUUAAUUAAAAGAAAAAUUAAUCGGGACAAUUCAUUUUCUUGCCAGCCCCAGUGCUUGCCCUGGACUGCAAAACACGUCUAAUAGCAACAAUAACCACAGGGUGGGCAGAGACCUUUGAGAUCCCAGUCUCGGAGAGAGAAUGUUAAAGAGCUCCAGUCCCAGGGCAACCAACUCAUCAAACAAAUGCUUAAAAGACAGAAUCAGGAUGGAACAAGAAAAUAUGAAAUCUAGUGGUGGGCCAGGAGAAUAAAUGGCCUUUGAGAAGAUAACUAUGUGUUUUGGGUUGGUGGGGAGAGGUGGUGGUGAUGGAAGGGUAAGAGGUA